rnacentral:rRNA from 1 species
UACGUAGGGGGCGAGCGUUGUCCGGAUUCAUUGGGCGUAAAGAGCUCGUAGGCGGUUCGGCAAGUCGGGUGUGAAAACUCCAGGCUCAACCUGGAGACGCCACCCGAUACUGCUGUGACUCGAGUCCGGUAGGGGACCACGGAAUUCCUGGUGUAGCGGUGAAAUGACGCAGAGUAUCAGGAGGAACACCGGUGGCGAAGGCGGUGGUCUGGGCCGGUACUGACGCUGAGACGCGAAAGCGUGGGGAGCAAACAGG